UUUUAAGUAAUCCACGGAAAUUUUUAAAACUUUUAUUUGUUACUUUUCGGUAGAUCGGUAGGUUCCUUGACAAAUCGGUAGAUCUACCGAAAAAUCGGUAGACCUGGCAUCUCGGGAUGCAAACAUAUGGGCGUUUAUUUUCAUGCACUUACGUGAGCACUCCCGGGGAAUUUUUGUAUUGCAGACUGCCUAAAAUCGGUGUGAAGCAAAUUCGAUCCUUACAAGCGAUAUUAAACUAUUUUUGUAUCACAAAUUAUCACAAUCCUCAUCUAGUCCGUUCUGUGUUUGCAGAUGAUAGUAAGAUUUUCACACAUGUGAAUUGUCACUCGCCUAGUCGAGACGUCUAGACCAGAUAAAUAAGCUCUCACCGAUUUUAGGCAAUCGGAAAUACAAAAAUUUUCCGGGGGUACUUACGCAUGGAAACGUUACGUAAACGCAUGGAAAUAAACGCCAUGGUGAUGGAUGCCAUCCAUUACAUAAUGGGGUAAGGAGACUUAAUUUGAAAGCAGUAGUUACACAGCAGAAGCAUUUGGUACAUCGCCAACAGGAGAGAAACCUAUAUGUAAUUAUGUUAUCCAUACACAUACCUAAAUAUAUAUUUGCAUUAGUAAUUGUACUAUAUUAAUGAAUUUGUUUUGUUACUUUGAAUUAGGUAUUUAUUUAAUUUCUGAAUUUUUGAUUCAUAACAUGAUUUUGCUUCUUGAGCAAAUGUUUCUGGUUUCUAUAACAAACACUUUUCACAAUAUAAUGGUAAUUGGCGUUUCGCCUAUUUAUUUACUGCAAUAAAAAUGUGUAAAUGUU